UUUACCUUGUUUAAGCUCUGUACUAAAAUUGCAGAAACCAGCAUUAAAUCUCAGUAUUUGUAAUAAAGCUAACAGAGAAAAACCCAAGAAAAUAAAACAACCCAAACCACUGUAUCAGAUAGAAGAAAAACUGAUCUGAACUUCUUCUGAAGGCCAGGAUACUUUGUUUCAAGAUUUGGUACAAUAAUA
rnacentral:snoRNA from 1 species